rnacentral:ncRNA from 1 species
UGUUCCUUGCAAAAUUUGCAGGGCUAAGAUGGAAACGGGUGCAAAUCCCGUACGGAGCCGCCACUGUAAGCGUGGAAUCGUUUUUUUUACCUAAAGGUGGUCACUGGACGAAAGUUUGGGAAGACUAAAAAACGGUAAUGAUGCGCAAAGUCAGGAGACAUGCAU